rnacentral:rRNA from 1 species
CCUACGGGUGGCAGCAGUGAGGAAUCUUGGUCAAUGGCCAGAAGGCUGACCCAGCCAAGCCGCGUGAAGGACGCAGGUGCCAAGCAUUGUAAACUUCUUUUGUCAAGGGACAAAAUCAGGCUCGAGAGCCUGACCGAGGGUACUUUAAGAAAAAGCAUCGGCUAACUCCGUGCCAGCAGCCGCGGUAAUCCGGAGGAUGCGAGCGUUAUCCGGAUUUAUUGGGUUUAAAGGGUGCGUAGGCGGCCUUUUAAGUCAGCGGUGAAAGUGUGUGGCUCAACCAUAGAAUUGACGUUGAAACUGGGAGGCUUGAGGAGGUUAGAGGCAGGAGGAAUGCGUGGUGUAGCGGUGAAAUGCUUAGAUAUCACGCAGAACCCCGAUUGCGAAGGCAGCCUGCCAAGCCAUGACUGACGCUGAUGCACGAAAGCGUGGGGAUCAAACAGGAUUAGAUACUCCUGUAGUC